rnacentral:tRNA from 1 species
UGGCUGAGUGCUAAAGCGCUUGGCUUCCGAACCGAGAGGUUCCAGGUUGGAAUCCUGG